AUACGUAGGGGGCGAGCGUUGUCCGGAAUGAUUGGGCGUAAAGGGCGCGUAGGCGGCCCGGUAAGUCUGGAGUGAAAGUCCUGUUUUUAAGAUGGGAAUUGCUUUGGAUACUGUCGGGCUUGAGUGCAGGAGAGGUAAGUGGAAUUCCCAGUGUAGCGGUGAAAUGCGUAGAGAUUGGGAGGAACACCAGUGGCGAAGGCGACUUACUGGACUGUAACUGGCGCUGAGGCGCGAAAGUGUGGGGAGCAAACAGGAUUAGAUACCCUGGUAGUCCACGCUGUAAACGAUGAAUGCUAGGUGUAGGGGGUAUCGACCCCUCCUGUGCCGGAGUAAACGCAAUAAGCAUUCCGCCUGGGGAGUACGGCCGCAAGGUUGAAACUCAAAGGAAUUGGCGGGG
rnacentral:rRNA from 1 species